rnacentral:tRNA from 1 species
GCGGGCGUAGCCAAGUGGUAAGGCAAUGGAUUGUGACUCCAUCAUUCGCGGGUUCAAACCCCGUCGUUCGCC